rnacentral:rRNA from 1 species
UGGGUAGCUAUGUGUGGACGGGAUAAGUGCUGAAAGCAUCUAAGCAUGAAGCCCCCCUCAAGAUGAGAUUUCCCAACUUCGGUUAUAAGAUCCCUCAAAGAUGAUGAGGUUAAUAGGUUCGAGGUGGAAGCAUGGUGACAUGUGGAGCUGACGAAUACUAAUCGAUCGAAGACUUAAUCAA